AUCGUAACCAUGCUGUGAACAUCAUAAUGGAGUUGACUCUUCACCAGUCUGGAGAUGACACAGCCAUGGCCAUGGGCACAGCCAUGACACUAGGCAGCAGCUGGAGAACCCCAGUGACUGACAUGCCUUUAUCCGUGUGACCGAAGGCUUUCUGCAGAGCUUGAGUGCCCUGGUGGCAGCCUACAAUUAAUACUUCAAGCCAGAGUGCAAGCAACAACAGAGAUGGAACAGCAACUCAAAGAGCGGCCUGACGAGGGAGGGGUUUUGCCUGAGAGCGGACAGGAGAGCUGGGUGUCAGAUGAACAAGGUCCUGCACAAGGUGUGGUCCUGGGGAAGAAUAAAGGGCCCUCCUCAGAAUGGUGUUCUCACCUCCGGCUGCACAGAAUUACCUGGGGAGGCUGUGAAAAACUCCAGUGGCUAAGCCUCAUCUCAGCCAACGUCAUCCAUCUCUGUGGGUGAGAUCCAGGCACUGGGAGCUUUCCAUGUGCAUCCAGGAUUAACAAACACUCCCUUAGACAAAUACUUUUGUUCCCUGCGUCAGUAGGAAUGGAUGAGAGUCUGAGACAUUUAGAAACAGGGAGAUUUCAAGACAGAGGAAAUUGAUCUCUUCAAUAAAGAAGAUAAGGUCAUCUGUUAAGAACAAGUGGAUAAUGACCAGUUUGGAGCCAAAAAUAAAGUGCAAAAGGUUUAGAACAGCCAUCAAGUUGAAAACAAAUGUCCAGCAAACGUCCCCGCAGUGCUCCCGCUCCUAUGUGACGAGGUCGCGUGAUGAAUGGCGCCAAUGAAAUACAGCUGCUGCUGCUGGAAGACGAUCCGAUAACUCAUCAAGGUCGAAACUUUAAAACUUAAAAGCAAGAAAACUACAAUGGUUAAGUCAACUUUGGAAAAUAAAUCACACGGAGAGUGACAUUAGUUGUGAGGAUUAAA
ensembl:lncRNA